rnacentral:lncRNA from 1 species
GGGGGGAGUCUCUGUCCGAUGCCUUUUCUAGUGACCAAGCUCACACCCUCCCCAGCUCUGUUUUCCCAGGACCUUCUCCUUUUGUCACGCCGUCCCCAGUCUUUCCCACCUCAUGAUCCUUCUAAGGCAGGACCACCUAGUGGUUCAGCAAAAAGGCAGUACUGGGCUUGUAUUGCGGGGUCUCCCACUCCCUGCCUGGCUUUGGCAAACUGCUUGCCCUGUGCCGUGUGCGCUUUUGAAAAUGAUUUCAUACCUCACAGCGUUGUUGGGAUUACACGACGCAAAUCAGCCAGUGCUCUUGGAUGGAGCCGGCAGGAGAUCCGGUUAUGCCCUCUCCUGCCGGGCCUCUGGUCAGCUGCCUUCUGACAGCACCCUUGCACCUGCCAACUUAACAGGCAGUUCCUCUUCCAGAUGUCGUGUGUCCAGCCCACCCCUCUCCCUUGAGAUUUGCAUCUUAUUCCCCAUCCUACAGGUUUUCGCUGGGCCACCUUGGGCAAGUCACUUUACCUCUCUGGGCUUUGUUUCUCAGCUGUUCAGUGAGGAAAGGGAACCAGAUUAUUUCCAAGGUCUCUUGGGCUCUGACCUGCUAGGGUCAUUCCGUAUUCAGUAUUCAGCCUCUUCUUCUCUGCCUUGGGACCCGCUCCCGUGCCAUGGGGACCUGGACAUCACCACGUACCCCACUAUGGCCAUGCGCUGCCUGGGCGUUCACAUCUCUGUAUCUCCAGUGUAGCUUGAAAGCUCCCUGAGGGCAGGGUUCCUGCCUUUCUUGAUUGAUGUGAUUUCCAGCUCUUAGCACUGUGCCUGCAGUUAAAAUUAAUCACUCAUUAUUCCAGCCACACUUACUGAGCAUCUGAGGAGCUCAAUGGGCAGUACAGGCUGUACAGGCCUUUGGGAAUCUGGUAAACCAGAAUGUCAGAAUUGGUUUUUUUUUUUUUUUUUUUUUUUUUUUUUUUUUUUUUUUUGCUAGGGGUUGAAUCGGAGCUGUAGCCACCGGCCUACGCCAGAGCCACAGCAACGCGGGAUCCGAGCCGCAUCUGCAACCUACACCACAGCUCACGGCAACGCCGGAUCGUUAACCCACUGAGCAAGGGCAGGGACCGAACCCGCAACCUCAUGGUUCCUAGUCGGAUUCGUUAACCACUGCGCCACGACGGGAACUCCUGUUUUUUUCUCUUUAGGGCUGCACCUGCAGCAUAUGGAAGUUCCUGGACCAGGGGUCAAAUUGGAGCCGCAUCUGCAACCUACGCUGCUGCAGCUUGAGGCAAUGCAGGAUCUUAAUGCACUGAAUGAGGCCAGGAGGCAAACCUGCCUCCUCAUGGACACCAUGUCGGGUUCUUAACCCACCGAGCCACAGCAGGAACUCCCAGAGUUUUUAAAGAAUGACUCCAGUCAGCUUACCUCUCAGAGCUGUGAGCAGGGCUCCAUUCCUGAGGCAGGUGGAAGUGCCUGGCCUUAGAGGGGCUUGUUCCACGCGGAGCCCCUUGCUCCUUCCCGUGUGAACCCACAGUGUCUGGUGUGGCGCAGGGGGACAUCAGUUCUUGGCUAACUUUAGUCAAUGGGACAGGGCUCAGUCUGCAUGUCCCAAGCCUAACUGGUGGGAAGAGCAACACUAGCUCAUCAGGGCUCUUGCUGAGGGUGAUGCUGAGCUUCUGCUGAGUCCAGGUCUGGGCUCUGAGCAUUUAAAUGCAGUCUCGCUUCCACGUAUGAGCCCCGGAGGACGUGCGUUUUGACUCCUCGAUUUCAUUCAACAGACGAGGAAACAUUUCCAAAAAGCUUAAGGGCUGUGCCUGUGGCCAGUGAGCGAGUGCCAGCAUUAGGGUUCACACCCUUGGUCUGUCUGGCCCCCGAGUCCCACCUCAUUCCCCCAACCCCCCUCACGAGGAAUGCAUGAGUGCCGGGGGGGUGGUCUGUGCUGGGAGGCUUGGGGGUCCCAAGACCUUGUCAUCUCAGCACACUUUGGGGAGAAACUGAAAUGAAGCAAAACACAGUCUGCCAGCUGCUGCUUUGCCCCGGAAUGUAUCUGCUUGAUUGAUCUCCCCAGGUCAGGCAGGCCCCGCCCUUGGGGUAUCCUGAGAAAUAAUGUGGACACGGCCAGAGGCAUUGCCGCCUGACCCUUCCUCAGAGACAGGUACGGCAGACCCCUGCUGGGGAGCAUCCGUUUGGGUCUUACAUACCCGAGGGCACCUGCGCAGGAGGCCAGCUGAGAUGGCGCGAGCAUCACCCACCGCAUCCUCCCCUCGGAGGACCCGUCCUUCCUCCCGAAGCUGCCCCCUCGCCGCUCCCUCGGCCGCUCAGAGGCAUUACAGUCGGCAUAUGCUGACUCUUGCUCCUGUUAAAAUUAAUACCGUGACUGAUCAUUGCUGCGAGAGAAGGAAAGUUGGUGAGAGAAUGCACACGCACAGAGUCUGGGAGACCCAGAGCAGAGAGCGGGCCUGAUGCCCAGCCAGGCACAGACUGGGAGAUGCUCCCUCUGGCUCCUGUCUCAGACUGCUUCCCUCGCCGCAUGUGGCUUUGUGCACUCAGAGCCCGAGCCCCAUUCCCCAGUCUCUGCCAAUCCAGGGUCCCUUAAGCCCACUCCCAGAGCAUCCUUCUUUGCUCCCCCCCCUUUUUUUGUCUUUUUAGGGCUGCACACCUGGCGUAUAGAAAUUCCCAGGCUAGGGGUGGAAUCAGAGCUACAGCUGCUGGCCUUUGUCACAGCCGCAGCAUCACUGGAUCCGAGCCACAUUUGCAACCUACACCACAGCUCAUGGCAUCGCCGGAUUCUUAACCCACUGAGCGAGGCCGGGGAUGGAACCUGCGUCCUCAUGGGUGCGUUCCCGCUAAGCCACGAUGGGAACUCCUGUGUCCCAUAUUUAGGGGAAGUGGGUAUUGUAGAAAGAUGCUCUCUUGGUGUUGGGUAGGAAAGAGAGGCGGGCUAUUUCUCCUUUUUCUUCAACCUGCCCGCUGUGGGGGUGGGGGUAGGGGUGGGGGUCAGCUGGUAGAAAUACCUGGUAGGGAGGGCCGAGAAUGAAGUGACACAUUUGGGCCUGACGGAGAUGGGAGAUGGAGACGGAGGCAGAGGCAGAGAGGAGGGAGACUCAGCCAAGGGAAUCGGACCAGGGGCCUAGUUUCUUGUGGGGCAAUUCUGUGUCACAUUCCGUGUCACCAGCCCAGAGCUUGCAUAUUUGGGAAGUGUCCCCUCAGCGCCCUCCCCGAGGCAGGGUCAGCUGUAAGGCAGCCAGGCAUGAAAAUACAAGGGGGCGGGAAGCAGGGAAAGCUGGAAGGGGCCAUUCCCAGGCCUCAGGGGCUGUGGCUGUGUCCUUAGUAUUCCAGCAAGCAUACUUUCACAGGAGACAUUAAAAAAUGUUAGUCAGCUUUUUAUUGAGGUACCCUGUAUUACAAAACACACAUCAUGGAGUUCCCAUUAUGACUCAGCGGGUUAAGGACCUGAUUUUGUCUGGAAGGACUUGGAUUCGACCCCUGGCCUCGCUCAGUGGGUUAAGGAUCUGGUGUUGCUGCAAUCUGUGGUGUAGGCUGUAAGUCCCAUAUGAGGCUUGGAUCUGGCGUGGCUGUGGCUGUGGCUGUGGCUGUGGAGCAGGCUGUUGGCUACGGCUGUGAUUGGGCCCCUAGCCUGGGAACAUCCAUAUGCUGCAGGUGCAGCCCUAAAAAGAAAAAAAUCAACAAACACCCCCCCGCCCCAUGUCAUAAGUAUAUAAGCUCGAUAAAACACCUAGUGUAGCCACCCCUCUGCCGUCAUGUCAAAAGCUACCUCUGGAGUUCCCCUCGUGGCUCAGUGGUUAACGAAUCCGACUAGGAACCUUGAAGUUGUGGGUUCGAACCCUGGCCUUGCUCAGUGGGUUGAGGAUCUGGCGUUGCUGUGGCUGUGGUGUAGGCCGGCAGCUACAGCUUCGAUUAGGUCCCUAGCCUGAGAACCUUCAUAUGCCAUGGGUGCGGCCCUAGAAAAGACAGAAAGACGAAAUAAAAAAAGCUACUCCUGACCCCUUGCGGUCACUAACUGUCCCUCCCCCCAACCCAGAUAACCUUGUCCUGACUUCUCACAGCAUAGAUCAGGUUGAUGUGUUUAUGUGUUUGAUAUGAAUAGCAUCACAGUGCAUUCCCUCGUGUCUGGCUUCUUUCACUCAAAAUUGCACUUGUGCAAUGUGUCCUCAUGCAGCGUGCAGUUGUAGAUCAUUCUCAUUGCUCUGUAAUAUCGUCUGUGUGUGUGUGUGUGUGUGUGUGUGUUUAAAAUCUGUGCCCUUACGGGUGGGCGUUGAGGGUUUUCCGGUGGUUGUCGGUGAGUUGUGCUGCCAUAAACAUCCUAAGUAAGACGGAGCUCUUGGCAAACAUAGGUACACAUUUCCGUGGCUUUGUACCGAGGGGUGACUAUAUAACACGUGUAUUCAGCUCUAGUGGAUAAUGCAAAGCCGUUUCCCAAAGUGGUUGGUUGUCUUUCUUCAGAAUGUCUGUGCACCAGCUUGUAUGAAAAGUCCACGUCCACAUCAAGGCCAGUCCUCGGUAUUGUCAGUCUGUCUUUUUUAUUUUGGCCAGUCUGUUACAGAAAGCAGAUGACCCCAAAGGAAUCACCUAGCAGAGAGAAGGAAAAGGCUCCCCCAGAGAGAGAUGUUGCCGUGUGAUGAUGGUUCUAGAAGCUGUGGUGCGCAGCGCCCCUAAUCCUGCAUCCUCACAGGUGGAGCCCCUGGUGGGGCUGCCUUCUCUCGAGAAUGUCGGCGCUGCCCCUGCCCCCAGGGGGUCAGGGACCCCCGCUUUGCUGCAGUAGUACCCAACAGACCAUGGCAUAAUUCCUUCCCAGAUGACAGAGCUUUAAUGCUCAUGACCCCAACAAAACAAACUUGGCUUCAGAUUUGCCUGUGGGCCUCAGUAAAUAUUUAACAGAUUGUGUGCCCCCUUCUCUCCCCUGCUAUUAACUGGGGCUGGUACCAUAAAUCCCAUCUCCCCCUCCUGCCCUGAGCGGCCCCUCUCAGCUGCCCCCACUCCAGUUGUGACUUUUUGGGGCCAUGCUGCUCCCAGGCUGGCAGCUCUUGGCGGCUGCGGCAGGAGCCGAGGAGAAAAGAGGCGCGAGUGUGAGGGGUGCUGGGACAGACCCCGCUCGACUUGAGGGGAACUGCUUCCUUUGAUGCCUGAAACAGUGGCUUAGGUUGAGUUCUUACCGUGUGCUUGGCCACGUGCUAAAUGCUUUGUGUUGAUGAUUUCAUGUCAGCCUCACAGCAGUUCCAUCAAGUGAGUAGAUGUGAUUUACACCCAUUUUACAGACAAGGAAACCAAGGGUUAAAAAUAUUUCCCCAGAGUAACCUAGAUAGUGAAUUUGAUAGCUUGACUUCAGACUCUAAUGUUUAAACCACUCUUCUGUUCUUCGUCCUAGGGGCUGAUAGUUAGACAUUUCAACUUCCUUUUGAACCCAUCUUGCUGUUGGGUCUAAAAGCUAUCUAUGUCAGGUCGGUUUAAAUGAGACAAGGCAAGCUCGCCGUGUGAGCUUUGGUCACUGACAAAUGCCUAAGAGAGAGGGUGGGUGCUUUCUGGCAUGGUAGCUGUGGCCAGUGGAAUAAUGGUUCCCAAAGAUGCCACGUCCUUGUUCCCGGAACCUUACAUGUCACAAGAGACUUUGCAGGUAAGAUUAAGGUUCAGGACCUUGAGAUAGAUGAUCUUGGAUCAUCCGUGUGGGCCCAGUAUAAUAUCAGGGUCCUUAGUGGAGGAGGGGACUUACACUGUGGCUCAUCCUCUCCGUGAGGACGUGGGUUCCAUCCCUGGCCUCACUUACUGGAUUAAAGAUUCAGAGCUGUUGCAAGCUGCUGCAUAGGUCACAGGUGCAGCUUGGAUCCACCGUUGCCAUGUCUGUGGCUUAGGCCGGCAGCUGCAGCUCUGAUUUGACCCGUAGCCUGGGAACUUCCAUAUGCUGAAGGUGCGGCCAUAAAAAGAAAAAAAAAA